rnacentral:lncRNA from 1 species
GCCUUAAAUAUAUAUACUAGUAAAUGCUAGCUUAUAGCAGUUGGUUGAAAAAUAAAGACAAUAAUGAAUAAUAAAAUAAUUAUAAUAGAAAGUUACAGUGAUGAUGCAAUUCAGAUGUCUGGCUUCAGUGAUGUAACUUGAGUGAAGACAAGAACAACAGGAGUAGACAGAGAUGCAAAAUCGUUUGGAAUAGUUGAGCAGUAGUGGAAGAUGGAUUCACGUGAUGAAGCAGCAAUGAUUCUCAACUCUUGAAUUGAAGUAAAAUAUAAGCCAGUCACUUCCAACCCUGGAUUGCCUUUAGUAUUUAUAUUGAGCCUGCAACGGUUGAGAAUGUAGAUAAUCUCCUGGGUGCUAGUGCCCAAGAGUUUUCUGACACGUCAAUGAGUUACGUGAAUUAUAUUUAUGGAGGUAACGAAGAAGAGUUAGAUCCAGUCAAAGAUAACAAACACUCCAUUGAGUGCUAUUUUCUAUUUUCUCGUGAAAAGCCAUGAGUUUGAUUCCUUCCAUAAACACAAAAUCCGGGUUUCAAGGCAAAUCAACUGUCAAUGCGAGUAGGAGCAGUAAGAGGAAGAAUUAGAAUGAUGAUGAUGACUGGGAAGAACAGAAAAGUGAUUGGUGAGACGAAAACAUGCCAUUUACGGAGAGUUUUAAAUUAAGACCCAAGUAUUCCACCAAAUUCAAUAACUUGAUUAAGUAAACCAAAGAUGCUAAUUCUGCUAAAGAUGGAAUAGAUAAUGUUGUUGUUGAUGAUGACGAUGAACCAGAAAAUGACGCUCUGGAUGAAGACAAUGAAGAUGAGAUUUGCUGUAUUGUCACUUAUCGACAUUAGACACGAGAUUUGCUGUAUGUUUAUCUACUUUUAUCACCUUGACUUAUUCAUUAAUCUUAUCUAAAUUUUUCAAUAUUGUGAAUUUGUGAUGUGUAUUCGCUCUAAUUUUCUGUGGUUCUCUUAAUACAGACAGAUCAACAAGACAACAACCAUGAUAUGUUCAUGUUGUCAGCAUUGACGAACAGCAUGACGUGUGUUCCCUCCCUGCUCAUAAAGAUUCCUUCUAAACUUCUAA